UUAUAUUUUGAAAAAUAAAAUUCUGUCAUGACCGGGAUGCGCCUUGCCCAUGAUAGUGCAUGAUGUGUUUUUAAAUAUAAAACUUUUAAACCACACACGAUUUACAUAACCAUGUUCGUCGAAAACAAUAUAAUUUAUGUGGAAAUCAGGACAUUACAUAUAUUUUUCUAAUUUAAUAUAAUCAUACUGCCUACAGCAGUUUCUGAAUUCACCCAUGUCACUACGUGAUUUAAAAAUAAACUUAAAUCGCUUUUUCGAGUGCAUGUCAUCUUUGCAUUUGAGAGAAAAAGUUCACAGUGCAUGUCAUAUCAACAUGAAUAAGGUGUAAGUUUGGUUACGUCCCUAGAAAUUGCCAAGUAUCAACUAUCUGGACUAGAAAUCAUUCUCACUCUGUUAAGAGGUUUAAAAACUGCACAGCAAGGGCAGAUCAGGGGCUGGAUAAAGUGUUUCCUGUACCUGAUGGAUUUGCCGAUGCCCUUCGGAAGGGCUGGAUGGACCAAAAAGGCACUAUUGUUUGUGUAGAAGGGGACCAUCAUGUUCAUCUCAACAAACCAGAGAGUGUGGCCCCCAUUAUCACUGAUUUUCUUCAGUCGUCCAGUCCCGACAGCACAGAGAGUGACUCUGACAGCAAUCAGUCUGCCAAAUUUUAACACACUCAGAUUACUUUUAUCCUAAUAAAUCUUAAAUUCUAUAAGUUUGUUCUCUGUAAUAUUUUCAAAACACUGUAACUCUAAUUAUUUUGAUAUUACAAUUUUACAUUUUAUAAAAUAAAAAAAGCAGAUAUUAAAAACAGAAAUGUGAGAUAUUCCAUUUUGUAGAUCCACCUAUUUUCAGCAAUGACAGAUUUUGCCCAAGCCUCAGUUUCAAAAACUGACCCCACGUCUCACACCUCAGUGUGUAAAAACUGCCUUCUUUGUGUGCUUUAAGUCUGACUUGGUGAUGUCUUAAAUAAAAAAAGUGACUAAUCAAAAUAUCAUGCUGCUGCUGCCUAUAAAUACUGUGCUUUACUCAACUUCAAAAAAUGCAUCCACAGUACCUUGUCCUCUGUAAUGCUGUUCUGUCCUGUUACUCUGAGUUACUUCAUUAAACUUAUA